rnacentral:lncRNA from 1 species
AUGCAGCUGAAAAACAUCUGGCACUACAAAGAGCAUGAAAGUGAGCUCCCACCCCACCAGCAGAAGCCAGUCACACCAGUAGAGUGGUGUACUACUGCUGCUUCAGCUGUCCAUCCUUCUGCCAGUGGCUGGAUGACUCAAGUCCCAGAAUCUUCUCAAAAAUAUGAGUGUCUUACAGCACACAUGCAGCAAAGCAAAGGGAAUGAGCCAGAAUCCUGUCUAGAGUGGGCCUCAGCUGCAGCAGGUGCUCCAGAAAGGGCUGGACCUUUGGUCGGAAACCAAGACCACCACCAUGUCCAUCCUGUGUCCAUCUGCUGGAGCACAGAGCCAAAGCAUCCUCCCCUGCCCGCUGUCUCCUCAUCCUAGCCAGAGGUCGGACUUCCUAGGGAAAGAAAAGUUGGAAAACUGCUGUUCUUAGCCUAUCCGUAAAGAGAAAUAAUAUAUUUCUAAGUCACUCAUUAAGUAAUGCAGGUACUUAAUCAGCAAUUGCUGACAUCUGUAUGCUUUUACUGCUCUUCUGCUUGGUAGACCAGUAAGGCAGACUAGUAACAUAGCAGCCAUUUCUGUCUUACACAGAAUGCCUUCAAAUAUUUCCAGACUAUUAACAGAUUCCUAGAUGUAACCUUUCUGACAUAUUCUGCCAGAUUAUCUGAAGUUUUCUAAUGAAUCUAUCUCUCUUGCAAUCUGAUUCUGCCUUCUUUGAAUUACUUCUGUCUGAAUUAUAGCUAUAGAGUACCUUUGUGUUCAAAAUUAAAUUCUGCAUGUUCUACAUAGUUGAUUCAGCAGGAAAAGCUCUGAUAGCUAUGGCCAUUCUCUGCAAAAUCA